GGGGGCGCGCGGGUUCGACAGGGGAGGUAUGCUACAGGAUUGCAGGCUGAGGUGCCGCUACCCUCAUAAAACAAGUGGCAAAAAUAACUGGCGAAGAACCAGUUUUAGUUGCCGCCUAGUAACUAGGUGACACAUCCAACCUGACCUCACCCCGACGGGUUGGGAUUGGGUGACGAAAAGCCGGGGUGCCGUUGCCCGGACGUCGAUAAGGGCGGCGAAAGAGAAAAUCGACUUGCCAGGCAGAACUCCGUCGGCAGAGGUCUGUUUCGGCGAGAAUAAAGGGUCGACUAAGCUUGUAGGAUAUUCUGGGUAGCCUCUUUUGGACGGGGAGUUCGACUCUCCCCCGCCUCCACCA
rnacentral:tmRNA from 1 species